UACGGAGGGUGCAAGCGUUGUUCGGAUUGAUUGGGCGUAAGGCGCACGUAGGCGGGUUCAUGUGUCGAAUGUGAAAGCCCCGGGCUUAACCUGGGAAUUGCAUCCGAAACUAUGGAAUCUUGAAUGCUUAAGAGGUUGGUGGAAUGUCUGGUGUAGGAGUGAAAUCCGUAGAUAUCAGAUGGAAUAUCGGAGGCGAAGGCGGCCGACUGGUGAUGCAUUGACGCUGAGGUGCGAAAGUGCGGGGAGCAAACAGG
rnacentral:rRNA from 1 species